rnacentral:rRNA from 1 species
AUUGAACGCUGGCGGCAUGCCUUACACAUGCAAGUCGAACGGCAGCACGGGAGCAAUCCUGGUGGCGAGUGGCGAACGGGUGAGUAAUAUAUCGGAACGUGCCCGGUCGUGGGGAUAACGUAGCGAAAGCUACGCUAAUACCGCAUACGAUCUAUGGAUGAAAGCGGGGGAUCGCAAGACCUCGCGCGAUUGGAGCGGCCGAUAUCAGAUUAGGUAGUUGGUGAGGUAAAGGCUCACCAAGCCGACGAUCUGUAGCUGGUCUGAGAGGACGACCAGCCACACUGGGACUGAGACACGGCCCAGACUCCUACGGGAGGCAGCAGUGGGGAAUUUUGGACAAUGGGCGCAAGCCUGAUCCAGCAAUGCCGCGUGCAGGAUGAAGGCC